rnacentral:rRNA from 1 species
UACGAGGGGGGCGAGCGUUGUUCGGAAUUAUUGGGCGUAAAGGGUGCGUAGGCGGUUUGGUAAGUCUUGUGUGAAAUCUACAGGCUCAACUUGUAGUCUGCACGAGAAACUGCCGGGCUUGAGUGUGGGAGAGGUGAGUGGAAUUCCUGGUGUAGCGGUGAAAUGCGUUGAUAUCGGAAGGAACUCCGGCGGCGAAAGCGAUGCACUGGCUGGUUUCUGACGCUGAGGUGCGAAAGCCAGGGGAGCAAACGGG